GGGGGUUUAGCUCAGUUGGUAGAGCACCGAACUGUUAAUUCGGUCGUCGCCGGUUCGAUCCCGGCAACCCACG
rnacentral:tRNA from 1 species